rnacentral:rRNA from 1 species
GAUGAACGCUGGCGGCGUGCCUAAUACAUGCAAGUCGAGCGAACGGACGAGAAGCUUGCUUCUCUGAUGUUAGCGGCGGACGGGUGAGUAACACGUGGAUAACCUACCUAUAAGACUGGGAUAACUUCGGGAAACCGGAGCUAAUACCGGAUGAUAUUUUGAACCGCAUGGUUCAAAAGUGAAAGACGGUCUUGCUGUCCCUUAUAGAUGGAUCCGCGCUGCAUUAGCUAGUUGGUAAGGUAACGGCUUACAAAGGCAACGAUGCAUAGCCGACCUGAGAGGGUGAUCGGCCACACUGGAACUGAGACACGGUCCAGACUCCUACGGGAGGCAGCAGUAGGGAAUCUUCCGCAAUGGGCGAAAGCCUGACGGAGCAACGCCGCGUGAGUGAUGAAGGUCUUCGGAUCGUAAAACUCUGUUAUUAGGGAAGAACAUAUGUGUAAGUAACUGUGCACAUCUUGACGGUACCUAAUCAGAAAGCCACGGCUAACUACGUG